rnacentral:rRNA from 1 species
GGUGAACGCUGGCGGCGUGCUUAAGACAUGCAAGUCGAACGCAGUCUUCGGACUGAGUGGCGCACGGGUGAGUAACACGUAACUGACCUACCCCCAAGUCGCGGAUAACUGGCCGAAAGGUCAGCUAAUACGUGAUGUGAUGUCCCCUUUCUGGGGGGCCAUUAAAGGUUUACUGCUGGGGGAUGGGGUUGCGUUCCAUCAGCUAGUUGGCGGGGUAAAGGCCCACCAAGGCAACGACGGAUAGCCGGCCUGAGAGGGUGGCCGGCCACAGGGGCACUGAGACACGGGUCCCACUCCUACGGGAGGCAGCAGUUAGGAAUCUUCCACAAGGGGCGAAAGCCUGAUGGAGCGACGCCGCGUGAGGGAUGAAGGUUCUCGGAUCGUAAACCUCUGAAUCAGGGACGAAAGACGCGUAAGCGGGAUGACGGUACCUGAGUAAUAGCACCGGCUAACUCCGUGCCAGCCGCCGCAGUAA